rnacentral:misc_RNA from 1 species
GAUGAAGAACGUAGCGAAAUGCGAUAAGUAAUGUGAAUUGCAGAAUUCAGUGAAUCAUCGAAUCUUUGAACGCACCUUGCGCCCUUUGGACUUCUGAAGGGCAUGCCUGUUUGAGUAUCAUGAACACCUCAACUCCUUAUGGUCUUCCAUGAUGAGCUUGGACUUUGGGGGUUUUGCUGGCCCACCGCCGGCUCCUCUCAAAUGAAUCAGCUUGCCAGUGUCUGGUGGCAUCACAGGUGUGAUAACUAUCUACGCUUGUGGUUUUCCGCCAGGUAACCUCAAGCGAUGGAGGUUCGCUGGAGCUCACAAAUGUCUCUCCUCAGCGAAGACAGCUCUUGAACGUUUGAUCUCAAAUCAGGUAGGACUACCCGCUGAACUUAAGCAUAUCAAUAAGCGGAGGA